GAGAGCCAGGGGUAAGGAGAGACAGACCACAAUCUGUGGUCGUAUUUUCCUGUCCCUCUUCCCAGAUCCACAUUUCAAAUUGCUUUCUUUUCUGGAAGCAGAGGCCCUAGUUCAUUAUAUAGUCCAUGAACCUAAUCUAACUCCUCUGCACAUUUCUUUUCCCAGGUAUGAAAGGAUACACAUCAAGGUAUGAGAGGAUAUUCUUGCAGUGGUUGAUUUUAUUGGCAAACAAAGAGAAAGAGUGGAAUGUCCAAAGGAAGCUGAAAGGUAAAAGUAGCAGGAGUGGGGAUUCCUACCAGCAUCACUUUGACUGAGUCUGACAUCAGGGUGACGUAAGAUUUCAGCACAUCGUAAUGAAAGGCUGGGGUCAGCAUCUUCCUGUGCUGGAACCAUUUGCCUCCUUCCAAGAUCAGCAGCCCCUCCCCUGAAGCACAAACAGCAAAGGCACAGUCAGCUCCUGCAGGCUCUGAUCACAGCUCUGACAGCCUUACUGCUGCUUUUGACUUACCAAUCCAGGGAAUUAGGAAUUUGUAGGGUAUACUAGCCUUGGGAUCUGUAAAAUGAAACAGAUAUCAGAAAUGUAUGAAUAAAUCAUGAAUUCAACACAACAAAAGAGAAAAUUCAGGAUAAAUUCACAUUAGAUUUGGCCCUCUAAAUCACAUGAUAGAAUUAAUCUCACCUCAUUUCAAUAUUUAAAAUACUGUACCACCAGAGGUAGUUUAAAAGUGAUCAUCUACAAUUAUGACAGCAGUGGACUUGAAAAAACAGAGAAAGUUGGAACAAAAAAAAUGUGUGUGGAAAAGAAACAGCCAUGGCAAAUUCCCAAACUGAGAACAAUGGAUGGGAGUUACUGGGGAUGGCCGUGUAUGAACCACUCAUACUGCUCAUUCCACAGAAGGGAGCAGAGGACAAGACUGAAGAUGCCUUCUGAGAGCCAUUGCCAUGACAGCUCACACUUUUUACUGGGUUUACUGGCAAGCACAAAUAUUGUGGUGGUAGAAGCCAUAGAAGACAAUAAGACAGAUGGCCCUCAAACUGGGAACUGUCAGGAAACUGGAAGGAACAGGCACCUGGGCUCUGUUUUGUACAGGACUACAAACUGCUCCAUGACCUGGGGCAGCCUGGGAGUUUGUGAAGAGGAGCAAAAGAAGAAUUGCAAUAGCUGUGAAGGAAGCUGGCAGAGGGGAUAACUCCAGGAAAGUUUCCCAGUAUUUUCUUGGCAGGAAAGUGUCAAAGACUUCUCAAAACUGGAGGUAGAGACUCACCUGUUCGGCCAAGUAUGCUUUUGGCAUAUUCAGGAUGGUGGAUGAUUAGAGAAGGCAGGAGUGGUCCAAACCAUCUGGGAAAGGCAAAGGGAUAUUCUUCUCCCCAUGACACUAUCUGGUCUAAGAAGUUUUUAGAACCUAUCUGCAAUGAGAGUUAAUCAGGGAUUAAUAAAGAUAGAAGAGGGACAUGCCAGGGAGAGCAGAGGUUAAACUUGCAGUCUCAUGGAAAGCACAAAUAAGACGUUCUCUCUUAGGAAAUGAAGGAAGAGUGGGAGGACUUGCUUGCCACACAGGAGCUCUCAUGCUGCAGGUGGAGGGGAGAGUGAGUGUUGCAGAGGGACUGUGUGCAAGAGGCAAAUCUGCCUGAGCCUCCAAACCCCUGCAGCACCAGACAGCUCCAUGGAGAGUCCCCUGCUGGGCUGGUGGCAGCUGAGACACCUUAGGAUGGCCUGGGCUUGGAGCAGCCCCGUGUGGCACUUGGGAGCUGCAGCUGGCAUGGGCAGUGCCAGGAGGACCAAGGCUGUCACACCCCUGUUCCCAAUUUCAGCAGUGCAAGGUGGGCAUGCAGUGUGAAAGCAAGACAUCUCCACUAGAGAAUGAUGAAAAUGGCUGCAUUAAAACACCCUGCUUUUAUGGCCAUGCCCUUUUCGGUGGCUCUAGGGUAAGACACUCCUAUUGGUAGAAGGUUUCAUGUAGCAGAGAGACAUUUUAUGAUUGCUCAUAUUUAAAUAACUUCAGGGCAGUCCCGUAACUUUUUGUUUAAGGGCAUGAUUGAAAAGAGCAUGACUCUUUUUUGCUAAAUGAUGCACACAAUAUAUCCAGCACCCUUUCCUCCUGCCCUGCAGAGGCCUUGGCAGCAUUCCCAGUGCAGAGGUCCUCUCCUGUAGGAAGAGACAGGAGCAGGGGACACACACAAACCCCAUCCAGUCCUUCUCAUCCUGUCUGAUACCUUGCACAGUUGUGACAAACCCACCCCAGCUGAGCCCAGCUCACUCCUUACCAGGUGAUUGUGGCCAUAGAGCCAGUGUUUUGGGGGGCCAGGGAAUGCCUCCAGAGCUUUGAUGAGUUUCUUUCUCUCCUGGUACAACUGGAGCACCUUUAGCAGCACAAAGAUUACAGCAAGCAGCACAGACAGCUGCAGGACGACAGCAGAAGGUCUGGCUAGGUCCAGCAGAGAUGCCAUGCUGCUCCAGGACACUGCCUUCUCCUGCCUGUUUCUUGCCUCUCUUCUCACGCCUGAGCCAGAUGGAGAGCUCAGUGCAGGUAAAAACCCUCUCCCUCCUCCUCUGCAGGAGCUGACCCUGGUGAAGUGGAGCUGAGAGCAAUUUAUAGCUGCUGGAACAUCAUGGCAAGCACUGUGUCAACCCAGCCAGCAGCCUGUGAACUCACUCACCCUUUGACCUGCUUUCUGCAGCCUGUGCCUGCAACCUGGAGAACAAACAGCCUCUGGAUAUUUCCUGCUUUCUCUGAAGUCCCAGCAGCGCUGUCACACACAGCCACAGUCCUCCAUGCCCAGGUGGAUGAAGCCAGAGGAGGGAGGAGGUGAGAUGUAGGCAGGCUGGGGCUCUAGCUGAGCUCCGUGCUGUCCUCACAGAGUUCAGGUGUAGAACCUCUCACCUGCCCCCAGGAAUUGAGGAACACACAGGCCACCCCUCCUCAGUGAGUGGGUACUGCAUGGAUCCAGCCACCUUCACCUGUGACAGCAGUGCUCCGGGUGAGAGCAGCAUCACCCAGCUCUGCUGGGCUGCAAUCCAGAGAACAGACAGAACUCCAGCAGCACGAGAGGGAUGUGGCCCUGUUCCUUCCACAGACAAGCCAGGAGACAAAACUGCUGUCCAGAGGAAUUACCAUGGCCAGUAGAUGAGAAAAGGAGAGGAAAAGGCUGCAGAGCAUGAUGUGAGCUGCAGCAAGGUUGAGAGCACACGAUGGGGAGGUGUGAUGGCAAGGCCCUGUUCACUCUACAGGCCUGGUAAGCUCUCCUUCCUCUGUCCACCUCAUCUUCUCCAAAAAGGCUCUGCAUUUACCUCUCUAAUGCUUGGCUGGAGCCCAGGUAGGACCCUCCUUGCAAUCCCUGUGCAGAUCCUGCUGCUUACCUGGGUUCACAUCCCAUAAUCCCAGAAUCCUGGAAUGGUUGGUGGAGAACUGGGCCUGGAAGUCUGAUGUGUGUGGGUGACUUGCAUGCAUAUUGUAAAAAGCAGGACCCCCAGAUGGGCUGAAAUAAUGUCCCAUUUGUGUCUUGGGAUGUUAUUGAAUGGGUUUACUGAGGAUUAAAUGGGUUAUCAGCUGUGGAGGCUGAUAGAUGAGCUACAGUAUAAGGGCUGCUGAAUUUUUUGAGUGCUUCUUUUCAAUGUAACACAUCUCUGAGACAGAGGACUUCUGAUGUUUGGGCACUUCCCUUUAGUUUUUACAAUAUGCCAUGUCCCACAUUUUCUGCUCAUAGGGUCAUUUUGCUGGAAAAAAACCACUGUUUGUCUGAUGUUCAUUGUCACUGCCUUGGAGAACAUCCCUGAUAGGUGCUACACUGAGCAGUGUCACCUUUUCACACACUUGGCCAUCUUCAUGAAAAUUGUGAGUCUUUUUAUAGUGAGCCAGCUGGACCUGCAUGAAAGUUCAGGGAAGAGAGAAAAGUUGAUCUUUAUGAGCCAGAAAGCUGUAACCAGGUUAGGCAUUUAUUAGGGAGGGCUUUGGCUGUAGCCAAAGAACAUAAGGGACGCAUUUUGACAUGACAAAUUCUCCUGUGGAAACUUGCAGAGUAUUCAUAAAUAAUAUGAUGCUGUGUAGUUGGGUCCCUCACAAGGUUUGCACAAGGAAAUGAGGGAAGUCUGAUGGUUGAGCCUUUGUUCAGUGCCAAUGGAGCUGUUUGGAAUGUCCUGUGGUACCUACAUCAUCACCAGACUCACCAAUCUGGAUUUGGCUGGCACCUUUCAUCAGUCCCCUACAAAAUAACCCAUAAAUACCCCCAUACCCACAGGUGGAGAGGCCAGGCCAGUUUCUGGUGCAGCUGUAGAUAAAACUUUUAUAAGUUUUUAUAAGUUUUAUAACAACACAGAAAUUCUCAAUGGUGACAAAGUCCCUGGAGAAUGGGUUUAACGAUGAUCAGGGUCAAUUUUUAUCAAACUGGCUUCCCUAUAGUUAUAUAAUAACCAAUAACCACUGUUGAGCAAGAAGCCAAGGGAUAUGGGUUGUCAUGAAAAUAAAGUGAGAUGUCAAGUGCUGAGCUGAUAUGGAGGGAACAUAGGGGACAGAGUGGCUAAACCCACAUUUAUGGGAAUUUGGAGCAAGAAUCUGAUCUUGGGUGAUAAAAAAGCACCAUGGGUGAUAAACUGGGUGCUUAAUCCA